rnacentral:rRNA from 1 species
GUGCCAGCCGCCGCGGUAAUACGAAAGGGGCUAGCGUUGUUCGGAAUUACUGGGCGUAAAGCGCGCGUAGGCGGCCUUGCAAGUUGGGGGUGAAAUCCCGGAGCUCAACUCCGGAACUGCCUUCAAAACUGCAAAGCUAGAGGAUGCGAGAGGUGAGCGGAAUUCCGAGUGUAGAGGUGAAAUUCGUAGAUAUUCGGAAGAACACCAGUGGCGAAGGCGGCUCACUGGCGCAUUUCUGACGCUGAGGCGCGAAAGCGUGGGGAGCAAACAGGAUUAGAUACCCUGGUAGUCCACGCCGUAAACGAUGAGGGCUAGUUGUCGGGCGGCUUGCCGUUCGGUGACGCAGCUAACGCAUUAAGCCCUCCGCCUGGGGAGUACGGUCGCAAGAUUAAAACUCAAAUGAAUUGACGGGG